CAAUAUAUUCAUUUUGUUGAUACAAGAUAUUAACGUAAUAUUAGAUCUGUUGUUUUAAUGAUUUUAGAAAUAACAGGUAUAUUUAUACAUCUUCACCUAACACUUGUACUUUUUUUCUCCUUAAUAAAAGUAUAGUAGACUGUGUCAUCUUCUAAAAAUUCGCAGUCUAGUGAUCAUUUAUAGGGAAUAAUGUAAAUGUCGGAAGCGGUAGUAUUUAGAAUCGUCGAAUUUAGUAUUUCGAAAUUUAGAAGAAUCGAUGGUGUGCAGGAUGUGUGAGAAAAAUAUCGAGCCCUCAACGGGAGAAUUCGCUCCCCAUAUGGAAACAUUAAGUGCUGGCUCUUGUACAGGACUUGUUCGUUAGGUGACCGUGGUGCGAUCCUGGGGUUGCUAAGCACAUUAUGCUAACCCUGUGACAGCAGACGAUGCAUUAGCCCCGGGAUUCGGAGUUAAAGCGAAACGAAAAGUAAUGUAUGUAAGGCCGUUUGUCAAGAUUCCGAAAUAAAUUGUUUUGCUUUGUUUAAACUUACUUGAUAAAGGUUCCGGCUUAAACGCUGUCAGUGAUUAAUCCCCCUGUAUACCGCGAAAUUUCCGAAUUUUUCACGUUACGAAAUCCAUUUUUUAAUAUUUAUUAAACUAUGUUUAACCUGCUUUUAUAACAGUAAAAGGAAAAAAGGAUUGAAAUUUAUUUGUUUAAUAAAUUAGGAAUUUUUAAAAUUUAUUCAGGUAGUUGGCGAAUAGUGAUUAAAAAAUGUAGGAAUUUAUUUAAUAUGUUUCUUUAACUUAUAUAAACUGAUUUUAUAUAUGUUUAAGUAAAUAGGUAAAGUACGAUCAACAAAUAAAGUAUGUCAUUUGUUUGUAUAAUUUUAAUUAUUAGAAAAGAUUUGUUAUCAUAUAAAAAAAAAAACUCCGAUGAAAUGGAACGAAGAAGAAGUGCAAGUGGAAUAAAAAGAUUGAAAGGACGUACGUCGAUAGGAUUACAUCAUGAAAUAAAUAUAAGGGAUGCAGAUGUAACGUAGCAGAAAGUCUAUUUGAGCUCGAGUCUAUGAUUAUAGACAGGCUUCCUGAUAAAUUCAUGAGAUGCUCAUUAAAUCCCUUUAUAUUCUCUUUGCUAGUCCCUUUCUGUCAUCGACUUAUGGAACAAUGCUUCAAGCGCUGAUUCUAUUCAAUGGAAUCAAAUUGUCAGAUAGAAACUUUACUUAAUUACGUUUCAACUUCUAUCACGAUUUGCUUUUCAUUAUUAUGAUAAUUACACGUUAAAUGCAAGUGUAAUUACAACAUAAUCUCUCGUAAAUACACACUUUUUAUGUUAAUACGUAAAUAAAGACACGAUAAAUUAAGGAAUUAGAAUUAACUCCUGUUCAAUGGUGAACAGUUUUUGAAAAUGAAAACAACCAAAUUUGUCGAAAGUGUGAUUCAAAAUUAAAAAAUUUACUUUUCGAAUUUUCAUUUCAUUAAAGAUUAAUAUAUAAAUACAAAAAUGCGUAACAGAUAAUUGUUGAAACGGUUAGAAACAAAAAAGAAAAAUACGUAGAAGUUCGAGUAUAUCGAAUCUGAUCGACUAUUCAGUCAUAUUCCAGUAGUAUUGAAUUACUAGUAAGAGAAAGUAAGCAAUCAAGCUUUAAAUUAACGCAACCCGCGACUGAAAGCAUCGAAUUUAACGCUCUAGAUUUCGAUAGUCAAACGUACCUUUGACAUCAAGAUCCCGUUAAAUUGAUCUGAUCCACCAUACAUUAAUUACAUGCUGGGUCCUGACAAUUAAACGGUCCCAGAGUUCAUUAACUAAAUGGAUCAACUCCAAGGCCCCAUUCCGCGAACCGAAUGAUUCACAAACUCUAUGGUUAAAAUCAUUUUAUAUCAGGCCUUUUACGUUAGCCAUCAAGUGCACGAUCUUUCUCUUUAUAUCGUAAUAAUAUUCUUUGAAAUUACCAAUUUAUGUGUUAGAGAUUGGCAAAGUAAAUAGUACUUUAAGAAAUCUUAAAGUAUUAUUUAAAAUUUCUUUCGUAUUCUUUUAUUUCUGAAAAGACGCAAGGACGUUUUUCUAUACAGGGAGCAUCGUAAUUAACAUGGUGAUAGCAUAAUAACACGACAACAUAUUUUGAAUCGUUCAAGCUAUUUUUCUAUGAGUUUGACGUAUAUGAAUCGACAAUUUUAAAAGUUCUCGUUUUAUAUCUUGGAAAGAUCGUACGUUUAGGUCUUAAGUUUCUUUUCUUAUCAAAGUUAAAUUAUUCUAAACAAAAGUUUAUCAUACUAAACCAAAAAUGAUAAUACAGAUUGAAUAAAUAGAAUAAAUUUUUUCAAUUAUUUUCUAUCACUAUAUAAUGAUGUGAUGUAAUGAAUAUGAAUAAAGAUCGUGUAUUUAACGGUAAGCUAAUAUCUCUGUAACAAACAGGAUCUAGAAUCGACGAUUCAAUGCCAGAGACACGAGCUGAUGACAAUCACCUCUGAAUAAAUCGCGCGGUCGAAGGCAGUAGAAGAGAGUUUUCAGAGUCACGCGUCGCGGAAGGCUGGUGAGGAUUCCGGAAUGGUUUACGGGAGGAUCGAUUGGGAAGAGGAACGAUAGAGAGAAGGGAGAACGUCGCCGGCGUGGCCGCGUACUGCGUUAACUGGGUAGUUACCGAGCCUCGACACCACCCCUAUUCCGGUAAGUGUAAUAGCGUCACGGAAAUAUUACCCUUUUGUGGAGAGAGAAACGCGGCGACUCCCUCCUCUCUUCUGCCCAUUUGCAACGAUGCUCCUCUCUCCCUCUGAUAAAAUCGCCCGGAGGUAUUUACGACGACGAUGCACAAUCUGCUCGCGAAUAAACGGCCGUUGUGUACUUUUAACGAUGUAACCGAGCCGCGUUCCACGGGUACAUACGUGACUGCUGUCGCUGCUGGCGCCGCGGUUGGCGUAGCUGGUGCGAGUGUCGUACACGCUGCGGCUAUGAUUAUCGCUGGAAAAACGGAACCGCGAUUUUUUAACUUAUCGUUAGCCGUUUUAUGUGCUAUCGGUUCGAUUUUUUGAAAGUUACGCGCCGCGAAUUAUUGACAGCACAUGAUUCUGUGAAAAGUUUGACAGCAUUGGAAAGCGUUGAGUGACGUUUCAAAGUAUUGAAAAACAUUCGUAGAGUGAGUUGGUUUGUAGAUUGGACAGUUAAUUGUAAAAAUUGCCAGUAGAAAUUUGUAAAACUCCACUUUUCCUGAAGAUCCUAAAUGUUUACAGAACCGCACUCAUCGAAUCAUUUAUCUAACAAAAUAGCAAAUAGCUAUCGAAACUUUAAACUCUACGUUCAAAAUUCACACUCGAAUAUUGUAAGCGUUUUUCAGUUAUCCAUACCGAAGCCAAGUCUGCAUUUCUGACGAUGGAAGUCGAAGAACAAGAAAUAGAGAGUGUACCUGUUGCCUCGGGCUGGUGGGUGGUAGGUUUGCCCUCGCGAUUUUGACAAAAUGACUUCACCCUGGCAAAGAACGACCGACAAACGCGGACCCAUCCAUCGAAAGGCACACACAGCAGGAAGAAAGAGACGGAAAACGAAACGUGGCGGCACGUAAGUAAACCUCAUAAGUAAUCUCGCCGGCAGCGCUUCUUCGAUUUGAAUUACCCUUCUGUUAUUUCUUCGGCCGUCGUCGGGCGUUAUCAGAAAUCCGCUCGCUCGUCGGAUUAGCAUGUCUGAGGUAGCGACCAUCAAUUUCAAUAUCCACUCGAUAAAUAUUCCUUUGGAAGCCGACUUCUUUCCUCUGCACCGAUCACCCAUCCCCCGCUCGACCAGCUCUUUCCCCCUCUUUUGGAGCCAAGAGAUCCGUAGGAUUCGAUGGAGCAACGAGCUCGAUAGACGGGUCGCAGACUGGCUUUAGAUAAUAUCCUUCCCAAUCUCUGCACGAGACUUUGCAACGAUAUUUUGCUUGGAAAGUUCAACCGGUGUAGCCAUAUAAUGUCAGGUGAAAGGUAGAGGUCAGACAAGAGCCAACUGAUCUGGAACAGGACUGACUAAGGGGAUUUAUGCGCGCGAAUGUAUAUGUUAUUGUAUCGUUCAUUUGUCGUAACAAUGACACAAUCCAAAAAUCACGAUUUUUCUUUUAAUUCGUGUAACCUAAUUGGUCAGAAGCAUUCAUAGGCUUAGUUUAACUCAAUUCUAUCCAUCUUAAUACGUAUACACUAUACACAUAGUCUUCUUAUAUUUUACCAAUACACAAUACAUUGAAUAUUUCUAAUAUAUGGCUGUUAUAAUGGUAUAUUAUGUGUGUAUUGUACACAAUACUACUCGGUUUGACCGCCACUGUUAUAGGGUAUAGAAUUAAAAGAAAUCGAAUGGUUAACUUUGAAACUAACAAACCGUUAAAACAACCCAUUAAAAUGGCAGAUUACAAAUUACUUUUUUUUAGCCUUAGUUCAUUCCAAGAAAACGUCUCGAGAUUUGAGAAGCAAGUCCAGUCUAAAAUUGUUAUUUUGUUACAAAUUAGUACUCAAUUUCUCCUAUAUACUUCGCCCUUCUAAUUUCUAUUUGGUCAAGCACCGUGCUGUUCCACAUUUCCCCGCGGUGGUUGUACAAGCAUAGGCAUAAGUAACGAAGAAAUCUUCGAAACUUUUCCUUUGGUAGAUUCUCUGAAACUGUACUUUGACGUAACGAAAAAGAGAAGCCUAAGACAGAGAGGAGAGGCUUUGGCGAAGAGAACUGCGAAGAGAAAAGAAAAGAGAAAGGAGAGGAAAAAAGGGACGGAAGAUCAAGGUAAUAUUAAUAAGUAGAAGGAAAAGUUGGUUUGAUCAGCUAAUCCGAACUCGUCCGGCACUAGACCACAUCAGAGAAGGGCUCGAAGCGCCGAAGCUAUUAGCAUAAUUACAAUACUUCUGUGUCUGGCCCGAUCCAACUUUCUGCUUAUUUUAAGCUACAGAGCCCUGAUAUCUCUACCGUGAUGGGAUUGCGGACGAAUCCAUUACGCUGAUGUAAUGUUAAAAGGCCAAAUCAUUGGGAUGAAUGUUUUGACAAGCCGUCAUUGAUUCCAGAAUUCUUGCUCCGGGUUUAAUUGAACAACGUAUUUCCAGUUUUUACAACCAUCUAUCCACGUAACGUGCAAUUGCAACAAGUCAUUCCCACACAAUGGCCAAGCCUGUCUAUUGUACCGUGCUUCAAGUAAUUGGAUAAUUGCUGCAUUUCAAAUGUUUUAUCGUUUGAUCGUUAAUUAUGAUUAGACAAUGAGUUAUGGAAUAAUUGUGCAUUUGUGACGAUGACAAUGACAAAUACAUUUUUGUUAAUUUUCUUAUUUGAAUGUCCUUUUGUGAUUAAAUGUAAAUCUUCGUGAAGAUCGUGCAAAUAAUUCUUAUAAAAAUUUCGUAUAACAAGUAUCGUACAAGGAAAAUGAUCAAAUUGAAACAUCAAACAGAAUAGCUUGCAAAUGAUUAAUAAAUUAUCUCUUAUCUUCUAUACAUCGUAGAACACAAAUCUAACUUCCCCGCGUAUAGAAUUAAUAAUGAAAACGAAAUUCGAAAGCCAGAAAGAACUAAACAAUUAGGUGAGUAUUUCAUUUCAAAAGACACGCGGGUUUUAAAAGUGUUAAAAAGUAAUUUUUGAGUUUCAUUGUUCGUAUUGCUUGUAUUUUUAAUGACGAAAGAUUCGUGUACAUCUUUGCACCCUAUGAUCUAUUACGCAUGAUAAAGUGCUGUUUGGGAUCACAAGGGUGUAAAGCUGAAUCAGCCAUGAUCAACAGACCGAGACGCCCUUCUAACUCGCUUAUGUUCUUGCCAGAAAUAAAUCUCAUUCGCGACGGUGUACGUAGAUUGUCACUCUUUCGAUUGAAUCUAGGGAAAAAGAUUCUGUAUUAUAUGUAGCUACGAAAAUCAAUAUUUCUACGAUUAUAUGUAUCUGUCAGUGGUUUAAUCUAUUUAAAGUUCUGUAUAAUAUGAAUUUCUUUCUAUUAAAAUACCAUUUUCUGUUUUCUUUAUUAUUGUGACUAUUAUAAUUUUCUAACUAUAAUGAUUCUUAUUGUAUAUAUCGUCUAAUAUUUACCAGAGUUAGAUAAAAUCUAAUAAACAUUGCCAAUCAAGUGAUUUUACAUUCUCAUUUCAAUCUCACUCGAAUUCGAGUUACUAAACACAGUUCACAGAGGUAAGAAAAGGGGAAGUAGAGUAUAAAAGAACGUGGUUUCGAUAGGAUACGUUGGUAGACGAUCGUCGCGAAAAACCGGUGGUUGGGAAAUGAGUUAAACGAAGUUGGUCGCUGAGCGUAGAGAAGCGAAAAGCGGAGCGAGUUGCGGUACCAGUGACAGAGUUACGUUGUCGUGUGUAACGAAGUAGAUUAGUCAGUGUGACAGAAGACCGUAAUUUCCUAGGCAAAUGACAUCGAUCGUGAACCUGACGCGUCGCGCUUCCACGAAACCUGCUGCGUGUUGUCUGUGGCUUUCGUGAAACAUUCGAUACACCAUGUCAUAUUGGUCUAAAAAAAAAAAGAAAAAAAAAAUAAGAAA